UACGGGGGAGCAAGCGUUGUUCGGAUUUACUGGGCGUAAAGGGCGCGUAGGCGGCGCAACAAGUCACUUGUGAAAAUCUCCGGGCUUAACCCGGAGCGGGCCAAGUGAUACUGUCGUGCUAGAGUGCGGGAAGGGGCUACUGGAAUUCUCGGUGUAGCGGUGAAAUGCGUAGAUAUCGAGAGGAACACCGGUGGCGAAGCGGCACCUGGACCAACACUGACGCUGAGGAGCGAAAGCCAGGGGAGCAAACGGG
rnacentral:rRNA from 1 species